GGGAGUCAAGAGUCUCAGUGGAAAGGACCUUAUAUGGUUAAACAGGUUUUUCAAAACGGUAAUGUGGACAUUGAACUAGAGGGCAGGGGUUGUGUGCUUAAGGUCAAGAAGUAUCUACUAAAGUCAUUCCAAAGGAAGUUUAGUGCACGCGAGUCACUGACUCUGAAGGAACUAGUGAUCUGACCACCACGUUUCUGUGACAUUUAGCUACAUACUUAAAAUAAAGCGCUUGUUGGGAGGCAACCCAAUUUUUCUAAACUCUUUCCUUAUUUUAUUUUUCGUUUGAUUUUUUUUAAUUAUUAGUUAAAAUUCUAGAUGCAUUUACAUACCUAAGUUUUAAUUAAAAAAAUAUACAGAUUAUAAAAAAUAAAAUAAAAAUUAACAAAAAAAAGUGAAAAAUCCAAAAAUAUUUUGCUUUCUUUAUUUACGCAGUUGAUUUUAGCUCCGUUUUUAAUAUUCGCAUAUAUUGGUUAAUUGCAGGUUGCACUCAUGGAAACUAAGGGAAAAUAGAGACAGAUUAUCCUUUAUUAGAAUCAUGCAUCCAGCAGCAAGUCUACAUCCAUAUCAACCACAUCUACAUUAUGCUGGAAUUCAAGCAAUCAUAUAAGCUCAUUCGAAGAUGCAAGUUUGGGGGUGGUUGUUGCACAUCCAGUACCAAAGCAAAAAUUUUGAUGCAUUCAACAAAGGAAAUAAAUGUCAUUUAUUUAGUUUGAAGGGAUGAGUGUAUACCUUCCAUGUCGACAAAUCAAGACCUUUGCGAGGUGUCAUGCCUUCUAUCAAGUGGAUCUCCGGUUUGAGCAUUCCUUCUUUCGAAUCUGUCGUGGAUUCGACUGUUCUGCACAAAUACCACACUAGUAUAACUACAUGCAAAUGUAAUGACGUAACGUUCUCACGGAUUGGGGUUCAUCAACAACGAAGAAUAAGAUUUUACCUUUGCAAGACCCGGAUCUGCAAUGUAGUAGUUGGUGCUCAUUUUCCUUGCUGUUGUGAACCUUCUCAAUCCUGGACCAAUGCAAACCAACUAUAUCCACAGCAGACCAACAUGCAUCAGUCACAAAAUAAUGGUGCUCAACCAAUUACUAAGAACACAAAAUAAACAAGGGCUGGAUGAUAGAGGUUGUACUUGUAGAUAGAUGAUUUUUUUGGACGAUCGAUCUUGGAUUUACCCAUUUUUGGUACUAGUGUAACCAUUUUCGUUGUGCACCCGAACAUCCUUGCAAAGGAAUCAGAACAGCAUGCGUUAGUGUUUUUCUUUUCUGUCUAAAAUCAUUAGCUGGACAUAUGAAUUGAGCAGAACAGUGUGGAGCUUCAAUGUACCAUCAUUUCAAUGGCAAUAUUUGAUUGUUUUGGAUUUUCGCCAGGAAGAGUGUAUGUGGUUGAGCGGCUAAGGGUGAAGAAGGGUGAGGAAAUGAGAGAAAAAUGGGAAAGAAGGAGAGCUAAUUUUCAUUUUAAAGAGAUAUGGGGUCUGAGAGCAAAAGAGAGAGUGGGCUGAGGAAAAUGAGAGACUUAUUUCUGAUAUGGAUGUGCAUUUGGGUUUUUAGUGAGAGGGUUGGAGUUUCUUGAAAAAAAAAAAACAAUUAGAAGGGAAAGAAAUGGGUGCAUCUGAGCCUUUCUUUUAGAAUCCUAUGGCAUUCAUCAUAUAGAUGAGUGCCCUAUGGCCUGUCAUGUCUGUUUCGAUAGGGACAUUUUUGACAAUGGGAAACAGAGAGCCAUUUAGGGCUCUGGGCUCAAGGGAAUGAAAAUAAGGCAGCAGCUUCUAGGGUUUUUUUUCUUGCAAUGACAAAUGAAGACUGCUGAACCAGUUUCUAUAGUAGUUGUUGCUCACGUUUGACACAAGUGUGGACUUGUUCGUGUUGGUCUGUGCGUCUUCACAAAAAGCCCCAGGUCCUAAUUUUGAAUCCAGGUGAUGCUUUCCUUCUUUUCUGUUUGUUCUAUCAUUUGUUUAUUUUAAUUUCUUUGUUUCUUUUCUAUUUCCCUUUUUCUUUUAGUUUACUUAGUCUAGACUUUUGUUUUAUCUUUUCCCGUUUUGCUUUUUGUUUUUUUUAGUUUCUAUUUAUUUUCCACACCUUGAGGACACAGUGUGAAAUAAGUUUAGGGUGGGAAAGUAAAAUUUUAGGAUUUUAAUUUUUGAGUCGUUAAAAAAAAUUUCAUUCUUUUUAAGUUAAUAUCCAUGGAUUAUUUUAAACGUUAGAACAAAUGGACAUGGUGAAGAUUAAUCCCACAGUACAGUCUUUUCUAUUUAUCGUUGCUUAGACACUAAUUCAUAAAUUAUACUUUGAACUUUGCACUUCACACCAACAUGGUUUAUGGGGAGUGAGAUUGAAACACUUACUUUUAGUCUAAGUUUCAUUUUUAAUUUUUGUUCUAAAUAAAGUAAAGUUAGUAUAUGUUAUAAAGUAAUAAUUGUCUCACCCGAGACUUUGCCUAGUAACCGGGCCAGGCCUACCUAAUCAGCAGUGAUUCUCGCGUCAAACGGUAGAGUUUUGGCAUGGGGCAGGGUGGUUAGUUGGUUUCGUAGCCUUUUCAGCCCGGGUUAAUAAGUCCUUAGGGGUGUUCUACACCUAGUGCCCUAAAGCCCUAGUGGUUUUGGAGUCAUUGACCUAAACCUCGUUACAUGGGUUGGAUCGAAAGCUUAAGUGAACCGACAUUGCACGACCACUACUGUUAUUGAAAAAAAAAAUGUUAUAUAUGAGAAAAAAAAUUGAAAAAGAAAAAGAAAGAUAGUUAUAUUUAAAGUUAGUAUGUGUGAAAUAAAGAAGGACGAGGGGUAAGGGUUUUAGUCGAAUCUCCUUAACUAUGUUGGUUCACUUUACAUCAAAGGAAGUUUGUGAAUUCUUUUCUAAUUGAUUCUAAAUGGCUUAGACUCUAUGGUGGGAUUGGUUGGAACUUUUGAAAAGAUGUACUAAUUUUUAACGUGUUCUAUGGAUUGCAACUUUGAAGGUGAAAAUUUUUGUCAGUUAGUUUUAGUUAAGUCUUUAGUUUGUUAGUUUUUAUUUUUGUUUUCUAGUUUUAUUUUGCUUGAGGAUAAGCAAAAAGUUAAGUUUGGGGGUAUUUUAAUGAGUAGAUUUUAUAUUAUAUAUUUUACCCUAUUCUUAGUAUAUUUUGGUAAAUAUUUUGGAAGAAUUUUGAUGCUUUGAAUUGUAUUUUCAAUAUAGAACUUUCGAUUUCCUCUGGAGAUAAACAGGACCAAAUUGACGAAUUUUGGAGUAAUUCCAGUUGGAGGAUGUUCGUGAGUCACUUAGCUUGAUCGUAUCAAAUUUUUGAAUUUUCCACCAAGCAGUUAUUUUCUGGUGAUAAAAUAAAGGAGCGACGCGCGGUGCUGGAAAAUGACGUUUCUGGGCUUAAAUUGCAGUUUUGGAGCCGAAGGUGACCUCGGAUGGCUUCGUGGCCUUCUGGAGAUGUGUUCGGAACGUCCUAAUCUUUAAAACAAGCUAUCUUGGGCCGGAUUUGGAAGAUAUCUGAGGAUAAAACGUGGCUGGACAAGUACUUGGCAGAUUCCCCUAGUUUAAUUAGGGUUUUAUUUUCUAAGAUAUUUUAUUAUUUUUCUUAGUUUCCUAAUUGGAAUAAGAGACCUAUGUUUUAGGGUUUGUGGAUGGCUUAGCAAAUAUAUUGCUUUGCCGUU
rnacentral:lncRNA from 1 species